ACGGGAGGCAGCAGUGGGGAAUAUUGCACAAUGGGCGCAAGCCUGAUGCAGCAACGCCGCGUGAGGGAAAACGGUUUUCGGAUUGUAAACCUCUGUUCUUAGUGACGAAGAAGUGACGGUAGCUAAGGAGCAAGCCACGGCUAACUACGUGCCAGCAGCCGCGGUAAUACGUAGGUGGCAAGCGUUAUCCGGAAUUACUGGGUGUAAAGGGAGCGCAGGCGGGAUAGCAAGUCAGCGGUGAAAUGUAUGGGCUUAACCCAUGAACUGCCGUUGAAACUGUUAUUCUUGAGUGGAGUAGAGGCAGGCGGAAUUCCGAGUGUAGCGGUGAAAUGCGUAGAUAUUCGGAGGAACACCAGUGGCGAAGGCGGCUUACUGGACUGUAACUGACGUUGAGGCUCGAAAGCGUGGGGAGCAAACAGGAUUAGAUACCCUGGUA
rnacentral:rRNA from 1 species